rnacentral:rRNA from 1 species
ACUGCUCAGUAACACGUGGACAACCUGCCCUUAGGUUGGGUAUAAACCCGGGAAACUGGGUAUAAUACCCGAUAGGUCUCGAUCGCUGGAAUGCAUCGAGAUUUAAAGCUCCGGCGCCUAAGGAUGGGUCUGCGGCCUAUCAGGUAGUAGUGGGUGUAGCGUACCUACUAGCCUACGACGGGUACGGGUUGUGAGAGCAAGAGCCCGGAGAUGGAUUCUGAGACACGAAUCCAGGCCCUACGGGGUGCAGCAGGCGCGAAAACUUUACAAUGCUGGCAACAGCGAUAAGGGAACCUCGAGUGCCAGGUUACAAAUCUGGCUGUCGAGAUGCCUAAAAAGCAUUUCAUAGCAAGGGCCGGGCAAGACCGGUGCCAGCCGCCGCGGUAACACCGGCGGCUCGAGUGGUAACCGUUAUUAUUGGGUCUAAAGGGUCUGUAGCCGGCCGGAUAAGUCUCUUGAGAAAUCUGGCAGCUUAACUGUCAGGCUUUCAGGAGAUACUGUCUGGCUCGAGGCCGGGAGAGGUGAGAGGUACUUCAGGGGUAGGGGUGAAAUCUUGUAAUCCUUGAAGGACCACCAGUGGCGAAGGCGUCUCACCAGAACGGACCUGACGGCAAGGGACGAAAGCUAGGGGCACGAACCGGAUUAGAUACCCGGGUAGUCCUAGCCGUAAACGAUACUCGCUAGGUGUCGGCCACGGUGCGACCGUUGUCGGUGCCGUAGGGAAGCCGUGAAGCGAGCCACCUGGGAAGUACGGCCGCAAGGCUGAAACUUAAAGGAAUUGGCGGGGGAGCAC